rnacentral:rRNA from 1 species
GACGAACGCUGGCGGCGUGCUUAACACAUGCAAGUCGAACGGAAAGGCCCUGCUUUUGUGGGGUGCUCGGGUGGGGAACGGGUGAGUAACACGUGAGUAACCUGCCCUUGACUUUGGGAUAACUUCAGGAAACUGGGGCUAAUACCGGAUAGGAGCUCCUGCUGCAGGGUGGGGGUUGGAAAGUUUCGGCGGGUGGGGAUGGACUCGCGGCUUAUCAGCUUGUUGGUGGGGUAGUGGCUUACCAAGGAUGUGACGGGUAGCCGGCCUGGAAGGGUGACCGGCCACAUUGGGCCUGGGAUGCGACCCGGACGCCUACUGGAGGCAGCGGUGGGAAAUAUUGCACAAUGGGCGGAGUCGUGGUGCAGCAACGCCGCGUGCGGGAUGACGUCUUUCGGGUUGUAAACCGCUUUCGCCUGUAACGAGGCGUGAGUGACGGUACUGGGUAAAGAAGCACCGGCAACCUACGU